GCGCCCGUAGCUCAGUGGAUUAGAGCACCGGAUUUCUAAUCCGAUGGUCGUUGGUUCGAAUCCAACCGGGCGUG
rfam:Prosthecobacter debontii strain ATCC 700200 genome assembly, contig: EI75DRAFT_scaffold00001.1